UCCCUCUACAAGUUUAGACUUCUUCUCAGCUAGCUGAGAAUUCUUCUUAGCCUCUUCCUCGAUCGCCUUCUUCUGAUCUUGAAUGACCUUAAUAUUGUCUUCCAUAGCCUUCUUAUUCUUGGCCUGCCAGGCUAUGUUCUCAUAAAGAACCUAAAAGUCGACGACGACCUGGAUAAAACCAUAGAUCGAUUAAAGACUGGUGUAAAAAAAAGAAAGGAGACUUAUAUGUAGCAAUUGCUCAAAGCCAUGAUUCAUGACAUCCUCCAAUUUGUUCUUUCAACGUGCCUCAAUGUCCACAGUCGAGGUUGCUCUAAUAGCGACAUCCACUGAAUGGUAUCCUGUUUAGCUGAGGUUGAUAGAACGACAGAAGAAAGGGGCACCUGAUUUAUCUUCUUUGGAGGAGGAGGUGCCAGACAUGAGUUAUCCUUCUUACUCUUCACCUCGAUUGAUGGACAAAGUGCAAGAUCAAUUGAGGGAGCCCGAGGUGGGUUAUUGGAUGGAGCUCGUGUUGACUCACUCCUUUCCAAGGUAGUGGGAGGAGUAGCUGAUGA
rnacentral:lncRNA from 1 species